UGGGGAAUAUUGCACAAUGGGCGGAAGCCUGAUGCAGCAACGCCGCGUGCGGGAUGACGGCCUUCGGGUUGUAAACCGCUUUCGCCUGUGACGAAGCGUGAGUGACGGUAAUGGAUAAAGAAGCACCGGCUAACUACGUGCCAGCAGCCGCGGUGAUACGUAGGGUGCGAGCGUUGUCCGGAUUUAUUGGGCGUAAAGGGCUCGUAGGUGGUUGAUCGCGUCGGAAGUGUAAUCUUGGGGCUUAACCCUGAGCGUGCUUUCGAUACGGGUUGACUUGAGGAAGGUAGGGGAGAAUGGAAUUCCUGGUGGAGCGGUGGAAUGCGCAGAUAUCAGGAGGAACACCAGUGGCGAAGGCGGUUCUCUGGGCCUUUCCUGACGCUGAGGAGCGAAAGCGUGGGGAGCGAACAGGCUUAGAUACCCUGGUAGUCCACGCUGUAAACGGUGGGUACUAGGUGUGGGGUCCAUUCCACGGGUUCCGUGCCGUAGCUAACGCUUUAAGUACCCCGCCUGGGGAGUACGGCCGCAAGGCUA
rnacentral:rRNA from 1 species